AUGGACGUUAUAAACGGCAGCUUUAGAAAUGGCUUCAUUUCAUUACUUGAGUCAGUUGGUUUCCUCCAGCAGAUAAACCAACCAACUCACAGCUUUAACCACACCCUAGAUCUAGUCCUGACUUAUGGUGUUGAGGUAGAACAUGUGUCAGUGUUCCCUCGGAACCCAGUCCUGUCAGACCACUCUUUGAUCACUUUUACAUUUAUGAUUAAGGAUUCUUCUAUGCUCAGAACAAAGUCUUACUAUAGCAGAUGUCUUUCAGAUAAUGCUGUAGCUAAGUUUAAGGAAGUGAUCCCUGUGCUGAUCCCAGGACCACCAUGUGUUUCCCCAGGGAUCAAUCAUUAUAAUCUUAGCCCUGCUGAGGUUGACUCUAUUGCUGAAGGUGCAGCAACCUCACUGAGAAUCACGCUUGAUUCUGUUGCCCCCCUGAAAAAGAAAAUAGUAAAUCAGAGGAGGUGUGCCCCCUGGUAUAAUUCACAUAUCAGGACCCUCAAGCAGAAAGUGCGAAGACUGGAAAGGAAGUGGCAUUCCUGUAAGAUAGACAGCUACCAUGUAGCCUGGAAAGACUGUCUAUUAGUAUACAAAAAGGCCCUUCGCAAGGCUAGAACAGCUUAUUUUUCUUCUUUGAUUGAGGAAAAUAAGAACAACCCCAGGUUUCUCUUCAGCACUGUGGCCAAAUUAACCAAGAGUCACAGUGUUUUAGAUCCACGUAUCCCUUCUUCCCUUAGUGGUGAAGACUUCAUGAGCUUCUUCACUGAUAAAGUUCUAGCUAUCAGAGAGAAAGCUAACCAGGCCAUCCCUACAACUGGACCAUCACCAGAUGUGCCGACUGUGGGAACAUGCAGGGUCUCCAACGAGCCCUUAAGCUCCUUCAGCCCUAUAUAUUUUUCUGAGGCGUCAUCGCUAAUUCAGAAAUCCAAGACCACUACGUGUCUUUUAGAUCCCAUCCCAACACACCUGUUGAAGGAUGUUCUACCACUGAUAGGCAGUUCUAUCCUGGACCAGAUCAAUUUCUUUAGUGUCAGGUUAUGUACCCCGGUCCUACAAGGUGGCAGUGAUUAA
ensembl:lncRNA